CGUGCCCUUCGGUUCGGAAUAACUCAGGGAAACUUGAGCUAAUACCGGAUACGCCCUUUUGGGGAAAGGUUUACCGCCGAAGGAUCGGCCCGCGUCUGAUUAGCUUGUUGGUGGGGUAACGGCCUACCAAGGCGACGAUCAGUAGCUGGUCUGAGAGGAUGAUCAGCCACACUGGGACUGAGACACGGCCCAGACUCCUACGGGAGGCAGCAGUGGGGAAUAUUGGACAAUGGGCGCAAGCCUGAUCCAGCCAUGCCGCGUGAGUGAUGAAGGCCUUAGGGUUGUAAAGCUCUUUUGUCCGGGACGAUAAUGACGGUACCGGAAGAAUAAGCCCCGGCUAACUUCGUGCCAGCAGCCGCGGUAAUACGAAGGGGGCUAGCGUUGCUCGGAAUCACUGGGCGUAAAGGGCGCGUAGGCGGCCGAUUAAGUCGGGGGUGAAAGCCUGUGGCUCAACCACAGAAUUGCCUUCGAUACUGGUUGGCUUGAGACCGGAAGAGGACAGCGGAACUGCGAGU
rnacentral:rRNA from 1 species